rnacentral:lncRNA from 1 species
AGGCUGGGGAGGAAUCGACCUAAUCUGUGCAUUCAUGUCAUUUAUUCAAUGUACAAAUGCCUUAAAAAACCAGCAGUCACUUACUUCAAACAUGCAGUCUACCCAAAUGGUAGAGAGAGGACUGGAAAGUGCACUUUCCCUGCCCCCUAAGCCUUCAGGGUGCUCACUGCUGUGACCGCCUGGACCCUUGGAGCCUUGCCGUGUGGCACUGGCCCCGUCCGGCUGGGAUGUUUAACCCAUGUUCCCCGCAGGGCUGGGAUGUGUCCGAGCUCCUCCACGUCCAGCCGCUAGAGGACAGCAGCGGGGUGUCCCACAGCCAGCUGCUGGUCACUUGUCACAGCCCGCAGGCACCGCGGCUGUCCGCCCGGGUACAAACACACCCAGCUUCCCAGAAAGUAGUCUGUACCCAUCAGAGCAAGGAACUGAUAGCUCAGCAUCAGUGUGCCUGAGUUACAGCUCUCUCCUGAUGACAACAACUCGCAGGCUGGGGAAGGGAUAUACAUCACCUGUAUGACCAUACAGCCCUCUGGAAGAAGUUAUUUCCUCUUACGGCUGAUUUAUCGUUAGCGAGGUAAGUGGAGGACAGGAACAGAUACUUGACUCAUCAACAUUUUUUCAGUCCCAUUUGGCACCCAGCUCUUAGUGUAUGUUACCUUGCCUGAUGUUAUGAAGCCUCGAUGUGACCUCUUUUAUUUAGAUAUUUAAUCUGGAAAAUCAAUACCCUGCGCUUUUGAUUGCAAAACCAGGAGUCACACCUGGUUAAUGCAUUACAGUCCCACACGGACUGAGAAGGGAGCCCAUUUAUAACCACAAAACUGCAACUUCAGAACUUUUCUAUGGAUUUGACAUGAGAAACAGUUGUAUUGUAUGAAUGUCAGCAAAAUAUCUUCCUUCAAAAUUAGAGGAGUAUAAACAAGAAAGCGCUGAGUUGCCAGAAGACCAAAAUUCAACACAUUAAACCAGUGAGGAAGCAAAAUAAAUAAAGGUCUGGUUCCUUUCUAAUGCGCA